UACGAAGGGGGCUAGCGUUGCUCGGAAUUACUGGGCGUAAAGGGCGCGUAGGCGGCCACCGCAAGUCGACUGUGAAAUCUCCGGGCUUAACCCGGAAAGGUCAGCCGAUACUGCGGGGCUAGAGUGCAGAAGGGGCAACUGGAAUUCUCGGUGUAGCGGUGAAAUGCGUAGAUAUCGAGAGGAACACCUGCGGCGAAGGCGGGUUGCUGGGCUGACACUGACGCUGAUGCGCGAAAGCUAGGGGAGCGAACGGG
rnacentral:rRNA from 1 species